rnacentral:rRNA from 1 species
GAUGAACGCUGGCGGCGUGCUUAACACAUGCAAGUCGAACGCAUCCUUCGGGGUGAGUGGCGGACGGGUGAGUAACGCGUGGGAACGUGCCCUUCAGUUCGGGAUAACCCAGGGAAACUUGGGCUAAUACCGGAUACGUGCGAGAGCAGAAAGAUUUAUCGCUGAAGGAUCGGCCCGCGUCUGAUUAGCUAGUUGGUGGGGUAAUGGCCCACCAAGGCGACGAUCAGUAGCUGGUCUGAGAGGAUGAUCAGCCACAUUGGGACUGAGACACGGCCCAAACUCCUACGGGAGGCAGCAGUGGGGAAUAUUGGACAAUGGGCGCAAGCCUGAUCCAGCCAUGCCGCGUGAGUGAUGAAGGCCUUAGGGUUGUAAAGCUCUUUCGUCCGGGACGAUAAUGACGGUACCGGAAGAAGAAGCCCCGGCUAACCUCGUGCCAGCCGCCGCGGUAA